GCUGUGUUGCCAGAGUGGUUAAUGGGUAAGACUUGAAUUGUUUAUAAUUUGGUCAUCUUAUGGUUUCGGCCUCGUAGGUUCAAAUCCUGCACACAGCG
rfam:Pseudogymnoascus pannorum VKM F-3808 contig_2335, whole genome shotgun sequence.